AAUACAGCGAAAUAGGCGACGUUGGUUAGCGUGUAGACCAAGGUCACGACCGGCAUAGAUAUGCAGAUAGCUCGUGGAAGAUUCCUGGAAAUAAUUAAAUAAUGUUAAAGAAUCAGAAGAGAUUAAUUGGCUCUGAGAUACCUAUGAGGUUAUUCCAGCUAUGCUCUGACUGGUAAGUGAGCUCACGAGCUCAACCUGAGAGAAUUUGCUAACACUAGACCUAGCAAGAGCAGUGCUUCGCAGAAUCUACCACCCAAUCGGAAUCCCGACCCACUGAGAAGAAGCAGUGAGAAAUUUAGUGGAUUGGGUCUAUGGACUAUUUUGCUCGUCGAUAUUUGAGAUAGUCGAUGAGUUCGACAAGGACGGCUACCGGUGCUUGAAGAAGCUAAAAGUACCGAGAGUGGAUUCGGAGGAUCCCACAAAAUGUAUUUCGGGGGAUGGGGUCUUUGCGUUGUCCCGUCGCCUGGGUAGGAUAUAAAGUUUCAUCACAAUCAAAUGAAUAGCAUAGGAGCGUAUAGACGACUACCUAUAAAGAAAUAUUCAUUUUUAUAAAUGGAUUUUAGAUUAGUUAUAUUAUAGGAAGGAGGGCUUCGUAAUCGCUAUGCAGAGAGAGUGAUGUUGAUAAUCGUCAUCAAUCGGAAAGAUUCUAAAAGUUUGUUUAAAAACGCUGAUGUUUCUAAAUGUUUUGUAUUUGUAUGUACAUAUUUGGUAUAUUAUGGUAUUUUUCUCCAUCAGAACGGCACUAUUCAGAUGGAGAAAAAUACCAUAAUAUAAAUAAUAAUAAUAUAUUUUUUUUAUUUUUUUAUUGCUUAGAUGGGUAGACGAGCUCACAGCCCACCUGGUGUUAAGUGGUUACUGGAGCCCAUAGACUUCUACGACGUAAAUGCGCCACCAACCUUGAAUAAAUACAUAAAUAGUGCCGUUUUAGAGUAAAUUUUGUUUUAGAGACCUUAUACUUGCAUUUACAAGCGACUAUUAAUACGCUUUUACACGCUUUUUUUACAAUAAAAUAUUUUUUUGUUACACUAUUUUCAAUUCAAAUUUUUUAAAAUUUAUUUUCUAUAUUUUAGUUGGAUUUUCUAUAAAAGUGUAUUUUGUUAGUUUUUUUAAACUAUUAUUUAUUUUUAGGAUAAUUUUAUUUUAAUAUCUUAAUUAUGAACAAGCUUGAGACCCAGAGAAAACGAUGAUAAA